AGCUUUGAGCAGUGGCAGUAUCGGAGCCAAUGAGGUUUAUCCGAGGUGCAAUUAUUGCUAAUUGAAAACUUUUCUCAAAUGGCAGCACUAGGUUAUCCACACAUUUGAGCUAAAAAGCAAAAGGAUGA
ensembl:snRNA U4 U4 spliceosomal RNA